rnacentral:rRNA from 1 species
AUGGCAGGUUCCAAGCAUGCCUCGUCGUGCACCUGCAUUCUGAUAAUCUUGCUAGUGUCGAGCCACCUGGCGCCAUGCGAGGCGAGGAGGUUUAUGGCGGCGUCGGCAAAGAUCAACGGCGAUGAGGCAUGCAAAUCAUCAGGGUGCCGCUCCGUGCAAGGUGCUGCUAGUGGUGCCGCCGCGACGUCGAAGAUGGCGACCACCGACGGCCGUGGGACGGGUCCGGGCCACAGCCCGGGGAUCGGGAACAAGCUGCACGCUGCAGGGAACGAUCGUCGUUGA